rnacentral:rRNA from 1 species
CUACGGGUCGCUGCAGUGGGGAAUAUUGCACAAUGGAGGAAACUCUGAUGCAGCAACGCCGCGUGGAGGAUGACACUUUUCGGAGCGUAAACUCCUUUUAUAUAGGAAGAAGAUGACGGUACUAUAUGAAUAAGCGCCGGCUAACUCCGUGCCAGCAGCCGCGGUAAUACGGAGGGUGCAAGCGUUAAUCGGAAUCACUGGGCGUAAAGAGCGUGUAGGCGGAUUAAAAAGUCAGAAGUGAAAUCCUAUAGCUUAACUAUAGAACUGCUUCUGAAACUCUUAAUCUAGAAUAUGGGAGAGGUAGAUGGAAUUUCUGGUGUAGGGGUAAAAUCCGUAGAGAUCAGAAGGAAUACCGAUUGCGAAGGCGAUCUACUAGAACAUUAUUGACGCUGAGACGCGAAAGCGUGGGGAGCAAACAGGAUUAGAUACCCCUGUAGUC